UUCACAACUUGUGUUGGUUGUACUGUAGUGGAUUUGAGUGAUUGCACUUUUUGCACCAUUUGCACCAUUUUGUUGGGAAAUGUUGUCUUGGCAAUCUGUUUCCUUUUGUUGAUGUUCUGAGUAGCUGCAGUGCAUUUAUACUCAUCCAGAUAAUGUCUCUUGCGGGAUAUUGGAUGGUUACUUCAGUAAUGGUUAGAAUGGAUUGCUUUUCCAAUAGACUUGCUUUUCUGAUUUGCCAUUGUUUCCUGUGCUGGUGAGGAUAUCCAGGAACAAUUUACAUGUCUUCUUUUUCCUCUGUGAAUGAUAUCCCUUUGAAGAUAUGUUGAUUGUUUUAUGUGUCUCUUCUAGUUUGUUUCUCUUUUUAUUGUGACAAACAUGCCAUCUACAUACUAGAUCCAUACUUCUAGUCAUACCGGUACUUAUGGGAGUAAUUUCUAGAUCUGUGUUACAGUCUUUGCUAUGAGCUAUGUGAGUGAUGAUCCUCCCAGGGUGUUUCUCUGACUUGUUGAUUUAUUUGUCCAUCAUACAGAAAGCAAGUGGGUGAGGCAGAGGUAGUGGGUAUUUCAAGAUUUAUGUAUUUGGCAAGAUUGGGUGUGUUGUAUGCUUCGAGCCAUGGAUUUUUUUCACUAGUUCUGGAUCUAUUUAUUUAUUUAUUAGAUUUGAUUGACACCCACCUCGCACCAAGGUGUCUCUGGGCAGCUUAUUUAUUCAGUUAUUAGAUAUGAAAGGCUGCGAUAUUUGAAUGAAACCAUAAUUUCAUCUUCUUCUAUUUUUGAUUUUCAAGAGGCACUGUAGUGGGAAGUUAAUAGAAUAUUUGCUCUUCUCUGUGAUUACAAAUGAAAAUGAAAAAUAUUGAAGACAUUAAACAGUAAUAAAAUUAAAGGAAAAGGAGAAGGUAAUCAAACCAGAACGUAAAAAAUUCAAUAACAACAAAAUACAAUUUCUUAGUGCAUAACCAGGAGAGUCUGCAAGGUGGGGGUGGGGAAAUCAAUAUGGAGGU